GACGAACGCUGGCGGCGUGCUUAACACAUGCAAGUCGAACGGAAAGGCCCUGCUUUUGUGGGGUGCUCGAGUGGCGAACGGGUGAGUAACACGUGAGUAACCUGCCCUUGACUUUGGGAUAACUUCAGGAAACUGGGGCUAAUACCGGAUAGGAGCUCCUGCUGCAUGGUGGGGGUUGGAAAGUUUCGGCGGUUGGGGAUGGACUCGCGGCUUAUCAGCUUGUUGGUGGGGUAGUGGCUUACCAAGGCUUUGACGGGUAGCCGGCCUGAGAGGGUGACCGGGCACAUUGGGACUAAGAUACGGCGCAGACGCCUACGGGAGGCAGCAGUGGAGAAUAUUGCACAAUGGGCGGAAGCCUGAUGCAGAAACGCCGCGUGCGGGAUGACGGCCUUCGGGUUGUAAACCGCUUUCGCCUGUGACGAAGCGUGAGUGACGGUAAUGGGUAAAGAAGCACCGGCUAACUACGUG
rnacentral:rRNA from 1 species